rnacentral:rRNA from 1 species
UACAGAGGGUGCGAGCGUUAAUCGGAAUUACUGGGCGUAAAGGGCGCGUAGGUGGUUAAGUAAGUUGUUUGUGAAAUCCCUGGGCUCAACCCAGGAAUUGCAGGCAAGACUGCUUGACUUGAGUACAGUAGAGGGAAGUGGAAUUUCCGGUGUAGCGGUGAAAUGCGUAGAUAUCGGAAGGAACAUCAGUGGCGAAGGCGACUUCCUGGACUGAUACUGACACUGAGGCGCGAAAGCGUGGGGAGCAAACAGG